GGGAGUGCAUGGGUCCAGGUGGGCCCCUCGAUCUUCAAAAUCGAUGGGGGGCGCCUCAGGCGUCCCCGGAGGGAUCGUUCCCCUCGCCUCCCG
rnacentral:tRNA from 1 species